GCUGCCACCCAGGUCAAACAGGUUGUGGUCUCCACAGGGUUCUGCUCACCAAACCUGCACUCAACUUGGGGAUGCACUGGCUGGGCAAGAAGACCUUUUGAAACAUGUAGCCCUGUGAAGGUGAUGGAACUCAUGUAGUGGCACAUAAGAAGCACUUCAUAAAUGGUGACGAUUAUCCUUGGCAUGUUGAAGACAGGACUAUAGGAAGCAGCUACCAACAAGAGGCAGUGGGCAAGAUGGGGAAGAGGUGUACUUCCCAGACAUUUCCCAGGCCAUCCCAGGCCCAGGCUGGACUCAGCCAUUCACAGGGAGACCAUAUGAUGUUUACACACAAGAAUACUUUUGAAGACAAGAGGUGGGGGAGAAAAAGAAUAAGAGGGUUUGAUGCUCACAAGGUUGGUAACGAACAUGGCACCAGAAGCUCUGCAGAGUUCUCUCCAGAAAGGACCAUCUCACAGGAAGGGGACAAAUCAACCAGAGCUGCCAAUGUAUGGGGCAGCAAUGGAGUAAGUACCUGGACGAUACUAUUGCCGUUUGUGCCCAUCACUGCGGACUCAGGAAGAAAGUAGAGCAAGAGCAAGAAGCAGGUGUGUGUGUACGUCUUACUACAGAGAUUUCUGUUUCUCUCUUCUGAGUCAGAAUGUUCAAGGCAGACAAUAAGCUCUGGGCAAACCUACCACGGGGGCUUCCUACUUGGGGAAAUAGAAUUGUUCAGCCCAGUGGUUCUCAAACUGUACCCUUUAUCAGAAUCACUGGGAGGACUUCUGAAAAUGCAGACAGAUGGGCUUAACUGCUAGAGCUCCUAAUUCAGUAGGCUUGGGGUGAGACUGGGAAUGGGAUGCCGAUGUUGGUCAAGGAAGACUACCCUUCGAGACACGCUCUUUUCCUCCACUCACUCCCAUCCCAGCUUCUCUCUUCCACACCUGCUGCAGUUCUUGCUCCUCUUCCCAGUCUUUUUUGAAUCUCCCCCUAAACCACUUCCUCCCUCAGUACCUGUCAUGCUUUGAUCUGUCUGGAUUUCUCACCUGCCUCCCUCUUCUUGUUCCAUACACCAAACCCAGCCAUACCUCCCAUCCCACCUGACGCCACUCCCAAACAAUGAAACGCUUCGUUUUCUUGAAGACUGAAGUGCAAAACAGACAGGAGGAAUAACCAGUGCAUCCGCCUCA